AUAAAUAUCUUAAAAAAAAAUGAGGAACCAUGUAAAGGGCUAAGGCCCUUUCAAUUCUAGGAAUUUAUCUUUUUACUCGAGAAGGUUCUCGGUUUCUAUUGUCUCCAAUAUUCCCUUGGCCCACAGAUUAGAGAGUCUGGUCUUUUCAAGUGCUUAUGGCUUAGCCCCCAGCCAGACUGUAAAGCUACUUAACAACAGGGACCAGGUGUUGUAUGCCUUUGUCACAGGGCAUUGUCAAUGCUCAGUAAGCACUCAUUGAUUGCCUAUAUAAUACCCUGUACUUUGACCUCCUCCACUGAGGGGACAAGAGAUUGGGAAAGGGAGUGAAGAAUGACUGUUGGCCUUAGAAAACAGAAAUCUGUUCCCAUCUCUGCCCAUCUUUUCUCAUCCGUCACUCUGCAGACAUAUGGGUAUAGGACUGACCUCUCCCACAUCCUUGCCAAGCCUUUUAUGGAACAUUGCAAAUGACCUGUGAGCAAGAAUUACCAUAAGGCAGUUGGUCUAUGUUGGGCACUAUGCCCAAGUGUCUCUGCCCCUUGUGAGUAGGUGGAUGAAUGGAGGGAUGGAGGAAUGGAUAGAUAGAUAGAAGGAUGGAUGUGUGGGUGGGUAGGUGUACUGACAGAUGGAUGGAUGGAUGGGUUAAUGGACUGAUGGAGGGAUGGGUGGAUGGAUGGUUGGAUGGAUGGGUCGAUGGACUGAUGGGUGGAUGGAUGGACUGAAUUAAGUAAUAUCAAUCAGAGGCCUGAGUGUUUUUCACCCCUAACCCUGAUCACACUGAGCCAGAUGCUCUCAUAGUCCAGGGCAAAGGGCACCUGCUCAGUUCCAGGAUGAAUCUAAGGUCAACGUCUUCUGUCUGUAGUGGGUUUCCAUAGACAUUACAUCUCAUCAACUGGUACCAACUAAUAGAACCUGUUGAAAAACAGAGACGGUCCUCUCAUAAUUCCAAACAGGGUCAUACUCACAAUGCCAUCAGUCCCUGUUCUCACACUGCCUCACUGGCCACAGCCUGGCUACAGAAAAAAGUCUGUCCUUAGGCCCUUCAGAAACACUCGCUCUUGCUUCUUCCACCUCCGUAUGGCUAGGAUGGAGCCCCAUGGGGCACCAAAGGGAAGGUGAUAUAAAGUCGUCUGACCCCAGCAUCAUUUAUCUGGCUGCCAAAACCACCCAGAACAAUAGCUAUGAGCAGAGUCCCAGUGUCUGGCUUUUGCCAAGGCUUUAUGGGUGACUCUCUCCCCUUUCAACAAACACACAUUGCUGUUCCCCACCUCCUUAUUAUCCAUACUGUGCUGAAGACAUUGUGAAAUCCCUAGGCCCUUCUUCCCCAUCCUGGAGACAAUUAUAAAGAUUGCUACAGGCUUACCCACCCUGACCAGGCAAUAUAAACUCAGUGCACAUGCCCUGGAGAAAUCAGUUGGAGGUUCCAGGCACUUGGGAUCUGCAGGUCAGUGGUGGACCGGCAGUAUUCUAUCUUUCUCUGUUUUCUUCUCCCUCUGUCAAUAGCUCUGAUACGCCCCCUCUUUUUAACUCCUCCUGGCAAGCUCUCUAGUUAGCAAGGUAUCCCCUACCUAGAUCACCAUGGGAUGCUAAAUAAGUCUAGGGUCACAUAGAAGGAAUUUGAGGAGAAGGUAUAGGUUAAGUCAAGAUUUUUAAAUAUUUAGGACCACCGGUUUUAGAAAGUAAUUUCAGAAGAACUCAUCUAGGCCAGUGGUAUUCAACAAUGUUUUAUGAAGCUUGAGGUUCCUUAGAGAUGCCCCAGUGCCUUUUUGUUUUUUUGGGUUUUUUUGCAGUGUACAUUAUUUUAGUUUUAUUUUUAAAAAAUUUAAAGUAAUUUUUAUUGAAAUAUAGUUGAUUUAUGUUUUUGUGUUAGUUUCUGCUGUACAGCAAAGUGAGUUAUACAUAUACAUCUUUUUAGAUGUAUACAUCCACUCUUUUAUAGAUUCUUUUCCCAUAUAGGUCAUUACAGAGUAUUAAGUAGAGUUCCCUGUGCUAUCAGUAAGUUCUUAUUAUCUAUUUUAUAUAUAGUAGAGUGUUUAGUUACCAAGGGCGAAAGGGGGGAGGGAUAAAUUGGGAGAUUGGGAUUGACAUACACACCCAGUGCCUGCUUCAGUAGUCGAUGCUAGCUGGGUCCUGGUGUCACCAUCAUUCUCUGCUUCUGCAAAAGCAGGUGUCUUUCAUCCAUUUAACUUUCAUUAGUGUCUGUUUAAAAUUUCCUUGUGAAACCUAAAAUAGUUUUGAAAAAUAUUGACCUUGCCCAACCCCUCAUUCCAAUGAUAAGGAUUUGGAGGUCUAGGGAAUAAAGGAAUUUUCCAAGGUGACAAAAUAAAUUGGUAGCAGAGUUAGGUCUGGAACCAACCUUGCCGUCCGAAUCUGCGGUGAGUGUUUCUAUGUCCUGCUCAUGAGCACCAGUGUGUCUCAGUGGGGGCAGAUGGAGAGAGCUACAAGCUAUGCUUUGUGUCUUCAAGAACUUGUUAACUUUUUAUAAGGGAAAAAGUGUCUAUACAUAAAACAAUAAAUAACACAUUGAAAUUUAAUGGGACUUCAGAGUAAGUUUGCCAUGGUAAAGAGUCUUUAAACUCUGAGUCACGGAAUCAUUGAUUGUUUGAUCUUGAAAGAAUCUUAAUAACCACAUCCUCUAACUCCAUGAUUUUAUAGAUGCUGAAAACUGAAGAUUGGAGGCAAGGACCAGUCACCCCUGAUUGCAGGAAUGUGCUUCCUCCCCAUGGCAAAAUACUACAUGUAAGUCUUCCUGGAGUCUUCCUUUUCCUAAUCAGGGGGUCUGGAGAUGACAGAGGAAGAGGAAAGAGGGCUGAAUCAGUCUCCUUCUCACCCCAGAAAUCUCAAGUGCCCCAUAAUUAAGCUUAAUCAUCAUCAUAAUCACAAAAGCUUUCUUUCCUGAACUUCUGCAAGAUGCCAGCCAUUCUACUGCCCUGCCUCCAUCCUGAGAAAUCUACAAAGGGGGCAUUACUAAGCCCAUUUUAUAGAUUUGGAAACUGAGGCUCAAAGAGGUUAGAAAGUACCUAAUGUCACACAGCGCCAGGACUCAGACUCCAGGUUCUCUGUGCUGCUCCGGCCUCCAUUCUCUAAAAGCUCAGAGAUAAUUUUAAAUCUCAGUGACAGCAUCUUUGUAUGUUAGCCUCUGUGGCCUCUAUUCCCAGUCUGGGCUUCCAACUCUUACCUGCAUUUUAUCUCACUUGACAUUUGAGUCUUUACUUUUAGUUUACCACUUUAUUGUCUGUGAUUUUUGUUGUAAAUCAUCUCAAGCUCUUCGAGGAAUGAGUUAAGGCAUGAUAAAAAUAAAAUAGGAUUGACACCUGG